rnacentral:rRNA from 1 species
CUACGGGCCGCACCAGUGGGGAAUAUUGCACAAUGGAGGAAACUCUGAUGCAGCAACGCCGCGUGGAGGAUGACACUUUUCGGAGCGUAAACUCCUUUUAUAUAGGAAGAAGAUGACGGUACUAUAUGAAUAAGCGCCGGCUAACUCCGUGCCAGCAGCCGCGGUAAUACGGCGGGCGCAAGCGUGACUCGGAAUCACUGGGCGUAAAGAGCGUGUAGGCGGAUUAAAAAGUCAGAAGUGAAAUCCUAUAGCUUAACUAUAGAACUGCUUCUGAAACUCUUAAUCUAGAAUAUGGGAGAGGUAGAUGGAAUUUCUGGUGUAGGGGUAAAAUCCGUAGAGAUCAGAAGGAAUACCGAUUGCGAAGGCGAUCUACUAGAACAUUAUUGACGCUGAGACGCGAAAGCGUGGGGAGCAAACAGGAUUAGAUACCCCUGUAGUC